rnacentral:rRNA from 1 species
UCUGGUCUGUAAACUGACGCUGAGGGCUCGAAAAGCGUGGGGAGCAAACAGGAUUAGAUACCCUUGGUAGUCCACGCCGUAAACGAUGAGUGCUAAGUGUUGGAGGGUUUCCGCCCUUCAGUGCUGCAGCUAACGCAUUAAGCACUCCGCCUGGGGGAGUACGACCGCAAGGUUGAAACUCAAAGGAAUUGACGGGGGCCCGCACAAGCGGUGGAGCAUGUGGUUUAAUUCGAAGCAACGCGAAGAACCUUACCAGGUCUUGACAUCCUUUGACCACUCUAGAGAUAGAGCUUCCCCUUCGGGGGCAAAGUGACAGGUGGUGCAUGGUUGUCGUCAGCUCGUGUCGUGAGAUGUUGGGUUAAGUCCCGCAACGAGCGCAACCCUUAUUGUUAGUUGCCAUCAUUUAGUUGGGCACUCUAGCAAGACUGCCGGUGACAAACCGGAGGAAGGUGGGGAUGACGUCAAAUCAUCAUGCCCCUUAUGACCUGGGCUACACACGUGCUACAAUGGGAAGUACAACGAGUCGCAAAGUCGCGAGGCUAAGCUAAUCUCUUAAAGCUUCUCUCAGUUCGGAUUGUAGGCUGCAACUCGCCUACAUGAAGCCGGAAUCGCUAGUAAUCGCGGAUCAGCACGCCGCGGUGAAUACGUUCCCGGGCCUUGUACACACCGCCCAAAAAACGACCACGAGAGUUUGUAACACCCG